AUUGAACGCUGGCGGCAGGCCUAACACAUGCAAGUCGAGCGAGCGGCGGACGGGUGAGUAAUGUAUGGGGGCUGCCCGUUAGGGGGGGAUAACUACUGGAAACGGUAGCUAAUCCCGCAUACUAUUGGAUUCGCUAUAUGGGAUUAGCUAGUUGGGGAGGUAAAGACUCACCAAGGCGACGAUCCCUAGCCGGUCUGAGAGGAUGAUCAGCCACACUGGGACUGAGACACGGCCCAGACUCCUACGGAGGCAGCAGUGGGGAAUAUUGCACAAUGGGCGCAAGCCUGAUGCAGCCAUGCCGCGUGUAUGAAGAAGGCCCUAGGAUUGUAAAGUACUUUCAGUCGGGAGGCGUUACCGACAGAAGAAGCACCGGCUAACUCCGUGCCAGCAGCCGCGGUAAUUC
rnacentral:rRNA from 1 species